AUGGCCACCGAAACUACAACGGGCUCCCCGGGGAUCCUAAUCAACACAUUCGAAGCUCUCGAGACCCCCGAACUGGAGGCGAUCCGGGACGAGCUCGCUACCAGCGGCAUCCGCGCCUUCGCCAUCGGCCCACUUCACAAGCUCUCCACCAUCGGCGGCGCCGGCAGCCUGCUCGAGCAGGACCGAAGCUGCGUCGAGUGGCUGGACACGCAGGCAGCAGGCUCCGUGCUCUACGUGAGCUUCGGGAGCGUCGCUCCGGUGCACCGACACGACUUCAACGAGGUUGCUUGGGGCCUCGCGAACAGCGGCAAGCCUUUCCUGUGGGUCGUUCGAAGCGGCCUCGUCCUCGGUUCCGAGGAUGCAGAGCUGCCGGAAGGGUUCGAGCGAGCGGUGAGGGGCAGGGGCAAGGUGGUCAGGUGGGCGCCGCAGCAGGAGGUGCUAGCGCACCGUGCGGUGGGCGGGUUCCGGACGCACAGUGGCUGGAACUCGACGCUGGAGAGUAUCUGCGAGGGGGUACCGAUGUUGUGCAGCCCUUUCUUCGGAGACCAGCUGGCGAACGGGAGGUACGUGGAGGACGUGUGGGAGAUAGGGACCUUGUUGGUGGGUAAGAUGGAACGGGGGGAGAUUGAGCACGCCAUUGCGAGGUUGAUGGAAGGGGGAGAUGGCGCAACGGCGAGGGAAAGGGCAAAGGAGCUUAAGACCAAAUCGGUGGAGUCUCUGAAGAACGCUGGGUCUACUCAGCUGGCAGUCGAUCAGUUGGUAGAUCAUAUACUAACUCUAUGA
rnacentral:rRNA from 1 species